UUAGAUUUUAUUUAUUAAUUUUAUAUUUUUUUAUAUUAAUUUAAUAAAAAUAAUUUUAAUGAUUUUUGUUUUAGUAUUUUUUAAAUAAAUAAUAAUUUUAAUAAUAGUUUAUUAGUAUUGUAAAAUAAAAUUGAAAUAAUUUGAAAAAUUUUUAUUUUAAAAGAAAAUUUAAUUUAUUGUACCUUGUGUAUCAGGGUUUAUUAAAUAAUUGAUUAUUAUAAUAAUUAUUCUCGAAUUUUAAAGAUUUAAUUAUAUAUAAAAUUUAUUGUAGCAUAAAUAUUUUAAAUAUAUAAUUAGAAAUGAAAUGUUAAUCGUUUUAAAAUAUAUCUAGUUUUUUAAGAAAUAAAUUUAAUUUAGAUUUAUUAAUAAAUAUAUUAUUUUGUUUAAUAUAUUUAUUUAAUAAAAUUAAUAUUUUUAGGGAUUAGCUUAAAAAUAAAUUUUUAAAUUUUAAAUAAAAUGUUUAAUAAAUGUAAGCUUAAAAAUAGUUAUCAUUAAUAAAUUUGUUAUAAUUUAUUUUAAUUUUUUUAUUAUUUAUUUUUAAAUUAAAUUAUUUAUUAAAAUAUAAAUUUUAAUUUUAAAAAUUUAUUAAUAAUGAUAAAAUUAGUAUAUUUAUUUUUUAUAAAUUAUUUAAAAUGAAAGGUUUAAAUAAGGAAUUCGGCAAAUUAUAUAUUCACCUGUUUAUCAAAAACAUGUCUUUUUGAAUUUAAUUUAAAGUCUAACCUGCUCACUGAUAAUUAUUAAAGAGCCGCAGUAUUUUGACUGUGCGAAGGUAGCAUAAUCAAUAGUUUUUUAAUUGAAAGCUUGUAUGAAUGGUUGAAUGAAAUAUAUACUGUCUUUUUUAAAUUUAUAUAGAAUUUUAUUUUUAAAUUAAAAAGUUUAAAUAUAAUUAAAGGACGAGAAGACCCUAUAAAUCUUUAUUUUUGUUAAUUAUAAGUUAAAAAGAAUAUUUAAAUUUAUAUUUUAAUUAAAAAUUUUACUGGGGUGGUAUUUAAAUUUAAUAAACUUUAAUUAUUAAUUUACAUUAAUAUAUGAAUAAUUGAUCCAAUUUUAUUGAUUAAAAAAUUAAGUUACUUUAGGGAUAACAGCGUAAUUUUUUUUAAAAGUUCAUAUUAACAAAAAAGAUUGCGACCUCGAUGUUGGAUUAAGAGUUAUUUUUAGGUGUAGAAGUUUAAAGUUUAAGUCUGUUCGACUUUUGAAUUCUUACAUGAUCUGAGUUCAAACCGGUGUAAGCCAGGUUGGUUUCUAUCCUUAAUAAAUUAAUAUAUUAUAGUACGAAAGGACCUAAUAUAUAAAAUAUAAAUUUUAAUAAUAUUGAAUAAUAUUAAUAUUAAAUAA
rnacentral:rRNA from 1 species